UCCUGAGGUUUUCUUGGUAGCGCCUAUAUGUGCUGUGUUUUCUCCUGUUUGGAUCCUCUCUACCGGUGUCUUGUGUGCGCCCGAUCUUUGUUUGUCCUCCCUCUUCUGUUUCUCAUUUCUUAUGCUGUUGAGGAUUGUGGUCGUCCUGUAACGUGUUUGUUUUUUGCCUGUUUUUCUGGUGAUGGUUUUCACUGGUCUGAGUUUGCUCAGUUGGUGGGGGACUGGGAUAUAUUCCUGGCUCAGGGGUCCUUUUACAUUCCCUGCUUGUGGUACAUUUGGGCUUCUGUUCAGCCCUUCUUUUACUUUCGUUUUCACUGAUCUUAUGAAUCCUGUCUGGUAUCCGUGCUACCUGCCUAUCUGAU
rnacentral:lncRNA from 1 species